rnacentral:rRNA from 1 species
CAGCAGCCGCGGUAAUACGGAGGGGGCUAGCGUUGUUCGGAAUUACUGGGCGUAAAGCGCACGUAGGCGGCUUUGUAAGUUAGAGGUGAAAGCCUGGGGCUCAGCUCCAGAAUUGCCUUUAAGACUGCAUCGCUUGAACGUCGGAGAGGUGAGUGGAAUUCCGAGUGUAGAGGUGAAAUUCGUAGAUAUUCGGAAGAACACCAGUGGUGAAGGCGGCUCACUGGACGACUGUUGACGCUGAGGUGCGAAAGCGUGGGGAGCAAACAGGAUUAGAUACCCCAGUAGUCCCUGUCUCUUAUAA